UACGUAGGGACCAAGCGUUGUCCGGAAUCAUUGGGCGUAAAGAGCGUGUAGGCGGCCAGGUAGGUCGGUUGUGAAAACUGGAGGCUCAACCUUCAGAGGUCGACCGAAACCAUCUGGCUAGAGUCCGGGAGAGGAGAGUGGAAUUCCUGGUGUAGCGGUGAAAUGCGCAGAUAUCAGGAAGAACACCCGUGGCGAAAGCGGCUCUCUGGAACGGUACUGACGCUGAGACGCGAAAGCGUGGGGAGCAAACAGG
rnacentral:rRNA from 1 species